rnacentral:piRNA from 1 species
UGCUACCCUGUCAGAAGGAAUUUUAAGGCAC